rnacentral:misc_RNA from 1 species
AAGUCGUAACAAGGUUUCCGUAGGUGAACCUGCGGAAGGAUCAUUGUCAAAUCUAGUCCAAGGUGUUUAAUCUCCUUGGAUAAAAUUAUAUUAACCUGUCGUAUUGUUGGUCAAAACUAACUUUUAAUACUUAAAAAACUUUUAACAAUGGAUCUCUUGGCUCUU